UACGUAGGUAGCGAGCGUUAUUCGGAUUUACUGGGCGUAAAGGGUCCGCAGGAGGCCUGCCAAGUCUGAUGUGAAAGCCCACGGCUCAACUGUGGAACUGCAUCGGAAACUGGCGGGCUCGAGUGCACGAGGGGAAAGCGGAAUUCCAGGUGUAGCGGUGGAAUGCGUAGAUAUCUGGAGGAACACCGAUGGCGAAGGCGGCUUUCUGGCGUGCAACUGACUCUCAUGGACGAAAGUGUGGGUAGCAAACAGG
rnacentral:rRNA from 1 species